GUCCUAGCUAGGCUACUAAAAUGUUGCCUUCGGUUUUUAAACUUGACAAUGAAUAACCAAAAAACGAAACAUGAAUCGAAGGGGGACAGAACCCCUCUAAUGAAAAUGGCGAAGUCAUUUGAAGAAUCCAAAUUUCACACUUUGGCAUGAAAGGAGAUCAAUGAAGUUAACAUCGACAGCAUCUCUAAGCCUGAGUUCCUGUCGAGUAAACCUAAGGAGGGCUCACCUAGGGAACUCUGCACUCACAAUUCCAUUUAGUUCAGGAACUGAAUGGCCAUUCUUAUGGGGAAAUCAAAUGUCUUAUUCAACUGAAUUGAGCUUAAAUUGAUCUGUAACUCUUGACUUGCUCUGGCUACUCCCAGUAUUGAAUGGGGCAGUGCAUUUCCUCAAAAUCAAGGUGGUCCCUGACAGUUGGAAGACGGACAUGAACGAGAUCUUAGAAUCGUCCAGCAGCGACGAGGAGGACACGGAAGGAAAGGAGAGUGAAGAGGAGAAGGAGGUGCUAAGGUUGGUCACACCAUUGUGGUGUCCUACCUCCUCAACUACCCCAACAACAUCCUGUCGGUUCCCGCGCAAGACCUAUCUCAGCUCACACACCCCUCCCAUGACACCUCUCAGGUAGGGACCGCUAGUUUACUAACAGACAAAUAACUACUGUACUUCUACAAACAUGUUUGUUUAUUUGUCUGGAUGGAGUUGUAUUGACACCAAGUUGAUACCAAAUAUUGAUACCAACUAUACUUUUGUAAUAUCUCCUUACAUCUUACGAGUUCCAAGCUCUGGCCAUGGUGGAGCCAGACAGAGUAUCUUCUGACAUUACAACACCUGCACCCGUCAUCACAAAAGGUGGCCGCAAGCAGAGGCAGUGCCCCCUACAGGAUAACCCUGUCAUUGCAGACAGUCCAGACAGACAUGCUGCCCCCAUUCCACCCGUACCAGCCCUUGGAGUCCAUUGUGAAAGAGACAGAGUGCAAGCUUAUCUCCAGCCAUAGAGAAGACCCAGCUGCAGAAUAAGAUGAUCCUCAAGGAGCAGUAAACUAAAGAGUAAAUGAAGGCCGAAGGCCUGAAGGAUGACCCGGGCAGCCCCUUCUCACUUUGGCCUCCCAGCAGUCCAGACUUUAGUACAGCAGACUACCCCGACAGCUCCAGCCCUGACCUGCUGAUGCUGAUGGUGAGUCAGCAGUAGAUGUUAGGGCAGCAGUUGACAGGCCUGGGACCGGCCUUCUCACCCAGGCCCCCGACGGACUACUAGUGGCCUUCCCCCUACAGAUCGUCACAGACACGCCGGUUGACAUCAUGGCAGGUACAGUGCCUUCCGAAAGUAUUCACACCCUUUUCAGCACAUUUUGUUGUGUUACAA